CAAUUGAUAUCUUAAAAUAAAGAAUUAAAUUUUUAAUUUAAAAAUAGUAAUUAAUUACUUCAAUUGA
rnacentral:tRNA from 1 species